rnacentral:misc_RNA from 1 species
CAGUGUUCCCUGCCCUUCGGGGUAGGAUCGCCACCCUUGAUUAUUUAUGAGUGUUGCUUUGGCGGGCCUCGCGGCCUGGCCGCGCCCCGGCUUCGGCGGGGGAGCGCCCGCCAGAGGAUUCUACAAACCUGAUUAUUAGUGUCGUCUGAGUACUAUAUAAUAGUUA